rnacentral:rRNA from 1 species
UGCAAGUCGAACGGUCUUUUCUAUGGAAGCUUGCUUCCACUGAGAAGAUAGUGGCGAACGGGUGAGUAACAACGUGGGUAACCUGCCCAUAAGAGGGGGAUAACAUCCGGAAACGGGUGCUGAUACCGCAUAGUUUUCUUGAUCGCAUGAUUGAGAAAGGAAAGACGGCCUUUGUGCUGUCGCUUAUGGAUGGACCCGCGGCGUAUUAGUUAGUUGGUGAGGUAACGGCUCACCAAGACGAUGAUACGUAGCCGACCUGAGAGGGUGAUCGGCCACAUUGGGACUGAGACACGGCCCAAACUCCUACGGGAGGCAGCAGUAGGGAAUCUUCCGCAAUGGACGAAAGUCUGACGGAGCAACGCCGCGUGAGUGAAGAAAAGGGUUUUCGGAUCGUAAAACUCUGUUGUCAGAGAAGAACAAGUUGGAGAGUAACUGCUCCAGCCUUGACGGUAUCUGACCAGAAAGCCACGGCUAACUACGUGCCAGCAGCGGC